rnacentral:rRNA from 1 species
UACGAAGGGGGCUAGCGUUGCUCGGAAUCACUGGGCGUAAAGCGCACGUAGGCGGCUUCUUAAGUCAGGGGUGAAAUCCUGGAGCUCAACUCCAGAACUGCCUUUGAUACUGGGGAUCUCGAGUCCGGAAGAGGUGAGUGGAACUCCGAGUGUAGAGGGUGAAAUUCGUAGAUAUUCGGAAGAACACCAGUGGCGAAGGCGGCUCACUGGUCCGGUACUGACGCUGAGGUGCGAAAGCGUGGGGAGCAAACAGG